UUUUUGGAGCCCUUCUUGGGAGCAGGAGCGGAUUUCGCUGGAUCCGGCAUUUUUGCGCGAAAAAAGAGAACAGAGACUUAAAGAAGUAAUCCGAACUACCGCAAAACGGGCUGGUUAUGCGCUACUUAUAGAGCCUGUAUGCAAAUGAAGACUCGCAAAGUGCUGCGCUUUAAUUGGUUAACUUACAACGGUGUCGUCAGAGGGGGUGGAGUCUAUGUAAAUAAUAGAUUCUAGUCUUGCUUCCUUAAUGGUCACUGUAACAAAAGUCUUGUUAUCCAAUCAGAAUGGUCCAUUUCACACUAACCAGUUUUAAGCUAGGUGAAGCGAUAGUUUCAACGGCUUGAGGUUUUUUUCUUGGUUUUCACUUUCCAUUAGACUUGCAUACGGAAGAAAUCUUAACGCCAGCUAGACAAGUUAACUCUCUUGCCUCGUUUUUGCAUUUUUAUUCUAUACUUUGUGGAAAUUUUUUUCUCUUCCUUGAAAUACUACCUCACCCACACAUUUUUAAAAAUCGCCAGAUAUUUACUCCCGCCCGCUUAAAUUACUAUUCUGGCUUGGACACCGCCUGUAGUAUGCAAUGAGGAAGAUGCUGAGCUUUAAUUAAGCUUAUAGUUCCUAAAUAAACCAGGAAACGAGUUUAUAAUUUUUAAGGGACUCGCCCCACCCUUACACUCAGGAUCUUCCACAUCUAGAAACUCCCCAUAGUCUCUUGCCCCCAUGCAAAACUUUACCCACAGAAUUGGGAGCCGGACCUCUAGCCUUAAACCAGCGUGAAAAGGCUCGGCCGGAACCACAAGGACCAUGCCUCUGCGGCUUUCUCUACUGCCGGCCAACUCACGGCUGGGCUUUGGGUUCUGUAACGUCACCCACCACGAGUGCCCCUGGCCCCUGACCGCUGCGCAAGGCAGACGCACAUCAGAUGGAGAGCCGGUACAGCUGCUCUUGAUGAAAACGGCAGUGGCUCUGAAAAGAGCCUUUAGAUCGACCACUUAAAAAUAUACCUUAGGCCCGCUCCCCGCGGAUGCGGCUGACCAACUGGAUGUCCUUGGGCAUGAUGGUCACGCGCUUGGCAUGGAUGGCGCACAGAUAAGAAAACUGAGUCUCAGAGAAAUUAUGGCUUGUCCUGGGUGCCUAGAGGAGGUCUCUCAUAGAUGCCCACGUUCUCUUGACAAGAUAUUUGGGGAGGACCCCUGGCUACUGUCACUGCUGCCAUGCCUGCCAGGAGGAGGCACCUUCCUGACACUUCACUGCUGCUGCUCAGCAGGCCUGCCAAGUGGUUCUGCUGUGUUCUAGGAGAAACAGGAAAAAUGCCUCUCCUCCCACUUUGCACUGUGCUUUGUCACCUGGGCCCUAAAACACCAUUGCCUGCCCCUGACGCCCCAACAGCUCCCUCUACCAAACUGAGGCUGGGCUGGGAGACUAGGCACUACACCAUUCCAUUCUCCCUUCUCUUCUUCCAUUCUCCCUUCCCUCCCUCUCUUCUUCCCACUGCCUCCAAGACACCUGUACUGGAACUUUGUCCAUUCUUACACUCACACACACACACAUGCACAUGCAUAUGUGUACACACAAAAGUCUCUUGUCCAUCAGAUCAUACAAAUAUAUGCUUGGGACAGGGGUGAUCACAUGCCCCACAUGCCCAGUGGACAUUUAGGCUCAGAUAGGACAAUUCUUUCACAAGGAUGACAAAACCUACCUUCCGUGGUUGCUGUGAGAACAAGAAAUUGUACAUACAGUGCCCAUUCUACAGCAAACCCAACAAUGAUUUAAAAUCCACAAUAGGCCGUGCGGUGGCUCACGCCUGUAAUCCCAGUACUUUGGGGGGCUGAGGCGGGCGGAUCACGAGAUCAGGAGAUCGAGACCAUCCUGGCUAACACGGUGAAACCCCGUCUCUAUUAAAAAUAUAAAAAAUUAGCCAGGCAUGGUGGCAGGCGCCUGUAGUCCCAG
rnacentral:lncRNA from 10 species